UAGACUGUUUGAGGUAAUCCUCGACACCCUUGAUGAUGUUGAGAUCAGCGCUCUGUGGAGGCCAUAACAUAUCCUGCAGAACUCCUUGCUCUUCUUUUUGCUGUGAAUCACUUGGCUCUAUUUCUACUUCAGAGGAAUGGCUUUUUGGCAGCAACUCUUCCAUGAAGAGCACUUCUUACAAGACCUCUCCGGACUGUAGAGGGGUGUACUUUGGUUUCAGUGGUUUUUGUGAGUUCAGUGCUGACUUAGUCAUAGUCAUAGUCAUACUUAUACUUUAUUGAUGUCACAUUGAUGUGUCUUUCAUCUGUUGCACUCAGUUUCCGUGGCCAACCACUAUGUUUCUGGUCUUCAACCUUGCCUGUUUGUGCUUCUUCAGAGCAGUUUGGACAGCACAUCUCAGAGCUACUGUCUGGCAUAAAAUUUCUGCUUGCUGAUGCAGGAUGACCACCUUGUGUCUUGCUGCUACGCUCAACCCUUGCCAUGGGUAAGAAUUGAUGAUUUGAAGGUUAAAACUGUCACACCUGCCCCAUCCUUAUCUUUUAGUUUGGUUGCCUUUCGCCCAGAUUGAUUCCUUCUACACCUGUUUCAGUGAAUUGGUUUAGUUCAUUCAAAUUAUUAUGUCAUUGAUCAUCAGCAGCAGUUUGUUAUAUUUGUUUAAUCACGCAUUGGGCUAUAUACCUACAAAGUAAUCAAGUUUCUACUUGAAAAGUGGUCUAUUGCUUCAUAAAUUACUUUCUUUAACAAAACAAAAAAUCCUCUGUAACAUUUAUUUUUUGGAAAAUCAAUGCUUGGAAUUCUAAAAUUCGCUCUUUUCUACUAACACACUAAUAUAGAAGACACCUAAAACAAAAUUUAUAUGAAAAAUCUAGGGCAUUUGUCUUUUGUAUGUAACGCCUUGAUUAAGAUUUUUACUGCUAUGCUGUAGGUAUUUCUUUUUAGCAGUUCUAUAAGAGCAGUCUGUUCUGCUUUCAGCUUGUUUUGGGUUUGAGCUGAGAUAAGAGGCUUGUUGUUCAACUUAGGAAUGUAGUGUCAGCCAAUCAGGAUGGUAAAAUUAGGAGAAGGUUCUAGAGAAUGCUGGGAGGAAGAGGUCUUCAUUGGCAGGAGCCGGGAGAAGACAGGAAGGAAGAUGGUGGAGGAUGCCAUCCCUGUUGCACAAGGUGCUUUGUGCAGAUGUACGGCUUCGAGGAGGAAGGACCAAUACACCCAUGGGAGAGCCCGUUUGUUCAAGAUAGAUUUUGAGCAACCUUCAGAAAGUGGUGUGUGCUUUCACGCAGACUGAGGGUCCAGCGUAUGUGUAACAGACAAGUUCAAGAUUUGAGCUCCACCAUGUGGCUGUUUAAGUAUAAUGAGCCCUUCUUGUUUUUUUCUUUCUUUCCUUUAGUAGCUGUUUGCUUAAGUCAGCAUUCUUAAAUAUAUUUCUGAUUAAUUGUACGCAGUGGUUGAACUGCUAUUUCUUGCCGACAGGCGAUUUCCGGGGGUGGUAAAUCACACAGCAUUCACACAAACCAGGGUUUUGGUGGGUGAGACAUCCCAACCUCAUGGAUUUGGCGGGACCAGCCUAGACGUAAGUCGUCGGAGAAAUGUGGGUUUCUUGUUGCGGAGUUCAGUGGCUGUUAGCAAGGAGCUAAUGAGCCACAUUUCCAGAGACUCCCAGUAAAAAAGGGGUUUCAUGUACAAUACUGUAUAUUCCAAAGCUUUUACAGAUUAUUUCAUUAUUAUUUCUCUCCCUAACUGACCUAUCAAUGUACAAACCAGACAGCUCCAGUAAAUGUCACCUGGAUAAUCCUGGCUUCAACUUAUCAGAUAUUUCCUUUGCCCUGUCAAUCCCUUACCCACCAUUUAAAAUAAUUUUUUUUUUUAAUUUCCCAAAUCAUGAAGGAUCUUUAAUCUCUUUCUACUUCCACAUAUGCUGCAUGAACUGCUACAUACAGUAUUUCUAGUGUUUUUUUAAAAAUAAAUUACAUUUCCGAGCAGUUUGACUUUCCAACAUGCUUUCGCUUCCAUUUUCCCAAAAAUUGUUUCUCUGUCCUUUAAAGGCUUCAUUAUCCAUUUGCCUUUACUAAUUUUCUAUUUCAACUGAGGAAUGAAAGAAGUUUACUUAUUAAUGUCAUAACAUGAUUCAGCCCUGUAAGAAAGACAUCUGUAAUAAAAGGUAAAAAAUAUUUCAUGUAUCAGAAAUUCUCAAAGCUGCCUGCCCAGGUUCUAGAUAGAUAUACAAGGAAAGAACAGGAGAAAAGGGAAAUUGUGCCAAUCUGUAGUGUAAAUAUUCCUACUUUCAUAAUAAACAGGGG